rnacentral:rRNA from 1 species
CGCGUAAAGAACUCGCCUCACAGCUAGGGACAACAUUUAGAAAUGAAUGCUAAUACCUGAUAUUAUGAUUUUAAGGCAUCUUAGAAUUAUGAAAGCUAUAAGCACUGUGAGAGAGCUUUGCGUCCCAUUAGCUAGUUGGAGAGGUAACAGCUCACCAAGGCGAUGAUGGGUAGCCGGCCUGAGAGGGUGAACGGCCACAAGGGGACUGAGACACGGCCCUU